rnacentral:rRNA from 1 species
UCGAGAAUUUUGGGCAAUGGGCGAAAGUCUGACCCAGCAAUUCCGCGUGCGGGAUGAAGGUCUUCGGAUUGUAAACCGCUGUCACUGGGGACGAAUUUUGACGGUACCUGGAGAGGAAGACACGGCUAACUACGUGCCAGCAGCCGCGGUAAUACGUAGGUGUCAAGCGUUGUUCGGUGUUAUUGGGCGUAAAGGGUCCGCAGGGGGUGGGACAAGUCUGAUGUGAAAUCCCGGAGCUCAACUCUGGAACUGCAUUGGAAACUGUGUGACUAGAGUAUCGGAGAGGGGAUUGGAAUUCCGGGUGUAGCGAUAAAAUGCGUAGAUAUCUGGAAGAACACCGAAAGCGAAGGCAGAUCUCUGGACGAUUUCUGACCCUCAGGUGCGAGAGCAUGGGGAGCAAACA